GACGGUCGGACGGCCGCCGGCCUGCGCCUUGUGGGCGGAGGCGGGAGGAAAGUCCGGGCUCCAUGGAGACAAGGCGCCGGGUAACGCCCGGCCGGGCCUUUCAGGGCCCGAGGGAUAGCGCCACAGAGAUCGAACCGCCUUCUCCGGAAGGUAAGGGUGAAAAGGUGCGGUAAGAGCGCACCGCCGGACCAGCAAUGGGACGGGCACGGCAAGCCCCGCCUGGAGCAAAACCGAAUAGGGACGGCGCGCCAUUUGGCGGGCGGGUCUUCGCGCCCUUUGUUUUAGGACUUGGGCCGUCCGGGUUGGUUGCUUGAGCGCACGUGCAAGCGUUCGCCUAGAGGAAUGGUCGUCGUCCCGCACUCGAUGCGGGAUACAGAACCCGGCUUACAGACCGUCUGG
rnacentral:RNase_P_RNA from 1 species